UACGUAGGGUCCGAGCGUUGUCCGGAUUUAUUGGGCGUAAAGAGCUCGUAGGCGGCUCAGUAAGUCGGAUGUGAAAACUCAGGGCUCAACCCUGAGACGCCAUCCGAUACUGCUGUGGCUUGAGUCUGGUAGGGGAGAACGGAAUUCCAGGUGUAGCGGUGAAAUGCGCAGAUAUCUGGAGGAACACCGAUGGCGAAGGCAGUUCUCUGGGCCAGUACUGACGCUGAGGAGCGAAAGCGUGGGGAGCAAACAGGAUUAGAAACCCCCGUAGUCC
rnacentral:rRNA from 1 species